rnacentral:rRNA from 1 species
AAAUUGAAGAGUUUGAUCAUGGCUCAGAUUGAACGCUGGCGGCAGGCCUAACACAUGCAAGUCGAGCGGAAACGAGUUAUCAGAACCUUCGGGGAACGAUAACUGCGUCGAGCGGCGGACGGGUGAGUAAUGCCUAGGAAAUUGCCCUGAUGUGGGGGAUAACCAUUGGAAACGAUGGCUAAUACCGCAUGAUGCCUACGGGCCAAAGAGGGGGACCUUCGG